rnacentral:rRNA from 1 species
CAGAGGGUGCAAGCGUUAAUCGGAUUUACUGGGCGUAAAGGGUGCGUAGGUGGUUGCGUAAGUGAGAUGUGAAAUCCCCGGGCUUAACCUGGGAACUGCAUCUUAUACUGCGUAGCUGGAGUACAUGAGAGGGUAGUGGAAUUUCCGGUGUAGCGGUGAAAUGCGUAGAUAUCGGAAGGAACACCAGUGGCGAAGGCGGCUACCUGGCAUGAUACUGACACUGAGGCACGAAAGCGUGGGGAGCAAACAGGAUUAGAUACCCUGGUAGUCCACGCUGUAAACGAUGAAAACUAGAUGACGGGCAGCUUAGACUGUUCGGUAUCGAAGCUAACGCGAUAAGUUUUCCGCCUGGGGAGUACGGUCGCAAGAUUA